ensembl:snRNA U6 U6 spliceosomal RNA
GUGUUCCCCCGGGAGCUCAUGUAUUAAAAUUGGAACAAUGCAGAGAUCAGCAUGGCCCCCACACAAGUGGUGGGAGAAUCUGUAUCCUUUUUU